rnacentral:RNase_P_RNA from 1 species
CGAGGAAGGUCGGGACUCCACAGGGCAACGGUGCUGGCUAACGGCCAGUCGGGGCGACUCGAAGGAAAGUGCAGCAGAGAACAGACCGCCGAUGGCCCGCCCCAGCGGGCACAGGCAAGGGUGAAACGGUGCGGUAAGAGCGCACCAGGGGUCGGGGCGACCCGGCUCGCUCGGCAAACCCCACCGGGAGCAAGGCCAAGCAGGGGACAUGGCGGCCCGCCGCCCCGUCAGGGGCAGUCCCCGGGUAGGCCGCAAAGAUGGAUGGCCACCCACGGUCCGCGAGGACCUGGACAGAAUCCCGCCUACAGGCCGACUCACCGU